rnacentral:rRNA from 1 species
UGGGGAAUAUUGCACAAUGGGCGAAAGCCUGAUGCAGCAACGCCGCGUGAGUGAUGACGGCCUUCGGGUAGUAAAGCUCUGUCUUUGGGGACGAUAAUGACGGUACCCAAGGAGGAAGCCACGGCUAACUACGUGCCAGCAGCCGCGGUAAUACGUAGGUGGUAAGCGUUGUCCGGAUUUACUGGGCGUAAAGGGUGCGUAGGCGGACCUUUAAGUGAGAUGUGAAAUCCCCGAGCUUAACUUGGGGGCUGCAUUUCAAACUGGAGGUCUAGAGUGCAGGAGAGGAGAGUGGAAUUCCUAGUGUAGCGGUGAAAUGCGUAGAGAUUAGGAAGAACACCAGUGGCGAAGGCGACUCUCUGGACUGUAACUGACGCUGAGGCACGAAAGCGUGGGGAGCAAACAG